ensembl:lncRNA
GUGUGUGUGUGUCUAUGUGUGUGUGUGUCCGUGCGAGCUGGCAGCGGUAAGUGGAGGCUGGGCGACUCCGACUGCCUGACGCCAGCGCGACCAGAUCAAUCCCGGCGCGGAGGCAGGGCGGGCGCGGGGCUCGCCCCCUCUCAGCGCCCGGCGGCCGUACCACAGCCGGUAACAGCUUCGCGGCCCCUCGUCUCUCCCCGUGGCGGGCGGCUGCGCCCUUCUCCUCCUUCUCCUCCUCCUCCUCCUCCCCGCUGCACCGGGCCAGGCGAGGGUCCCCGGCGCGUCCGGGAGAAGCGGCUCCGUGCCCUCUCCCUGCCGGCAUGAUGGCGUCCCGCCUCGCCGCCGGCCCCCGCUUCCCGGUCUGCUGUGCUAUGGGGGCAGGUUGGUGCCUAGAAGGAUUUGCUCUCAG